rnacentral:rRNA from 1 species
GACGAACGCUGGCGGCGUGCCUAAUACAUGCAAGUCGGACGAGAGCGACCGGUGCUUGCUCUGGUCAAUCUAGUGGCGAACGGGUGAGUAACACGUGGGUAACCUGCCCAUCAGAGGGGGAUAACAUUCGGAAACGGAUGCUAAAACCGCAUAAGUCUUCGAACCGCAUGGUUUGAUGAGGAAAAGAGGCGCACGCUUCUGUUGAUGGAUGGACCCGCGGUGCAUUAGCUAGUUGGUGAGGUAACGGCUCACCAAGGCCGUGAUGCAUAGCCGACCUGAGAGGGUGAUCGGCCACAUUGGAACUGAGACACGGCCCAAACUCCUACGGGAGGCAGCAGUAGGGAAUCUUCCGCAAUGGACGCAAGUCUGACGGAGCAACGCCGCGUGAGUGAAGAAGGUUUUCGGAUCGUAAAACUCUGUUAUUAGAGAAGAAUAAGUGCUAGAGUAACUGUUAGCGCCUUGACGGUAUCUAACCAGAAAGCCACGGCUAACUACGUG